CCAAAUGAAACACCACAAAACCCAUAAACAAUUCCCCCCCCCACACUUUUCAAUGGCCUCUCCCGGAGACUAUAUAUGGUGUCUGGACCCCCGGGGCAGUAUUUGUCCAAACACCCUGGAGAGGACACAGAAAAGACAGGCAACCACCUCACUCGUCAAUGAGGAGCAGCUGUGCAGAGCCCAGAACAAAAGGCUACAUGCUAAUGUCUAAAAAUACUCAAUAAAUACAAUUAAAACUU